AUUGAACGCUGGCGGCAGGCCUAACACAUGCAAGUCGAGCGGGGUUUUCGGACCUAGCGGCGGACGGGUGAGUAAUGCGUAGGAAGCUGCCCGAUAGAGGGGGAUACCAGUUGGAAACGACUGUUAAUACCGCAUAAUGUCUACGGACCAAAGUGUGGGACCUUCGGGCCACAUGCUAUCGGAUGCGCCUACGUGGGAUUAGCUAGUUGGUGAGGUAAUGGCUCACCAAGGCGACGAUCUCUAGCUGGUUUGAGAGGAUGAUCAGCCACACUGGAACUGAGACACGGUCCAGACUCCUACGGGAGGCAGCAGUGGGGAAUAUUGGACAAUGGGCGCAAGCCUGAUCCAGCCAUGCCGCGUGUGUGAAGAAGGCCUUCGGGUUGUAAAGCACUUUCAGCGAGGAGGAAGGGAUGUAUGUUAAUAGCAUGCAUUUUUGACGUUACUCGCAGAAGAAGCACCGGCUAACUCUGUG
rnacentral:rRNA from 1 species